GCGCGAAAACUUUACAAUGCGGGAAACCGUGAUAAGGGAAUCUCGAGUGCCAGCAUAUAAUGUUGGCUGUCCAGAUGCCUAAAAAGCAUCUGUUAGCAAGGGCCGGGCAAGACCGGUGCCAGCCGCCGCGGUAACACCGGCGGCCCGAGUGGUAACCGCUUUUAUUGGGUCUAAAGGGUCUGUAGCCGGCCAAGUAAGUCCCUUGGGAAAUCUGGCAGCUUAACUGUCAGGCUGCUAGGGGAGACUGCUAGGCUUGGGACCGGGAGAGGUGAGAGGUACCUUGGGGGUAGGGGUGAAAUCUUGUGAUCCUCGGGGGACCACCAGUGGCGAAGGCGUCUCACCAGAACGGGUCCGACGGUAAGGGACGAGAGCUAGGGGCACGAACCG
rnacentral:rRNA from 1 species